rnacentral:misc_RNA from 1 species
GUAGGUGAACCUGCGGAAGGAUCAUUAACACGUAUCCAACGUUAAACCCCCCUGUGAACCUUCAGUGUGUCUCUCCUGCCUCGUUGAACGCCCAGCAAUCCCUGGUAAAUCAUUGCCGAACAGUUUUGAUUCAGGGACCUCUGGUAGAGGCGGCUAGAGCGCGAUGCAAGUGGCCUGGCAUUCCUCUGCUUGUUAGUGUCUGAAAGUGUCACUAGCUCUGUACGGAUGGCGCAGUAACGAUCGCUAGAGG